rnacentral:misc_RNA from 1 species
ACGGGUGAAUGGCUACCGUUGGCUACCCAGCCCUCUCAUCCUCGGUGGGUAUCUCGGGUAACUGUACACUCCCUCUAUAAUAGCGGUGUUCCCUGUACCAGCUCACAACCUCGCCAAGCUUCACGGCUCUAACUCAUUACUGUUUCCAACGGCAAAUAGCUUUAGUACAUUACUUCGUAAUAUUAGAAUCGUUCUUACCGACAUUGCUAAUCGGUUUAUGGUUAAGACUUGCAAAUAAUCAGCUCGGAGUACUGUUAUUGACAUUUGGCUUUGAUGUGAAGCAUUGCAGUGAAUGGAUACAUUCGAGUGUUGACGACCUGUGAUUAAAUGUCCUCAAGAUGCCGAAAAGUUUUUUGAUUACCAAAUAUUGUCGACGUCGAGUGACUUACCGUGGGGAUGACGAUGUCGUUGAGGAGACGAAGGAUGUUGCAACCACACCCACGCGGUGUACUACAGAUUCAGAGGACUGUCAUAACCCUUCCAGUGAUACCAGUCAUUCUUGCGACGAGGCACCACCAAAUUUAGAUGAAGAAAUUUUUCUCAAAUCACCUGUGCCACGUGAUCUCAAUAACAAUUACUUGGAGCUCUCCCCGGUCACAGUAUCGUCUUCCAAUGACAAGAAGCGAAUGUCUCCUCAUCAGCUGUUUCCCUCAAGAUCCCACUCUCCUGAACGUUCGUCAUAUCUGAGUCCGCUGACGUCGUCUCCUAUACUGACGUCACCUCACGGACCACACCCAGGGUCAUUCAGCACCUCCCCACCCGCAUACCCGUGUUAUUACAGUCCGUAUCUCCACCCUCCGCCACACCCCCUACACCAUGUGCCGCACCACUACUACAACCACGACGACAGAGCGGAACACAACAUCGUCACGUCACCUGGUCCAGCAAUACAGCACCUGACAAGCGGUGGUGUGGAGGUCAUCAACGGUGGCUAUGGCAUCAAGAACCCUUUGCUGGGACAGACGGCUCUACAGAAGGAGAUAACACUGUCUAGCUGUGGUUUAGAGAACGACAACGAGAGGUACGCAUGUCGGAUUUGUGGCAAGCUGUUCCCCCUUCAGCGUCUUCUCAACAGACACAUCAAGUGUCACAGUGACGUCAAGCGAUAUCUUUGCACCUUUUGUGGCAAGGGCUUCAAUGACACAUUUGACCUGAAGCGACAUACCAGGACACACACAGGUGUACGUCCCUACAAAUGUGCCGUGUGUGGCAAGGCAUUUACCCAACGUUGUUCCCUAGAGUCUCACUGUAAGAAGGUUCAUGGGACGGAUCAGUCCUACGCUUACAAGGAGAGACGGAACAAAGUGUAUGUGUGCGAGGACUGUGGUCACACCACGGAGGAUCCAGCUCAGCACUACCUCCACCUGAAGAACCUCCACCCAAACAGCCAAGUCCUGCUCAAGUUCUAUGACAAAAGACAGUUUAAGUUCUCCGACACCAGCCUGUCCAAGCUGAUGUACACGUCCAUGACGACGGACAGACCAGGACAAUCCCUCAUCACCACCAGUCCAGAUCUGGACACCAGGAGCUGAUGACGUCCCGGAAAGUGUUGUGUGUGAUUUGAUGUGGUUUGACAAGCGCCUUGUUGACUUGAAGUUCGUAUUGUGAAUCUUGCUUUCGUGAAGUACGUAGGAUGGAUUUGAGAUGCUUGGGUCCACAUGCACAAAGCGAUCUUAGCGCUGUGACAAUCGUAACGAAAAAGGAUCUGCUGUAAAAAUGUGUGCCCAAGGAAAUGGGGAGAGAGGUGUGCGAUUAAAAUGAAACUGGACAAAGAGACAAGCAUUGAGAUUCAACUACAAUGCUAUUGAUUUAUGUGAAACAUCUCUAUUAACUGAAUAUAUUUCACAGGAACGGUUACCAUGUGUUAAAUCGGGCUGACAGAUAGAUGUUCGACAAAAGGCACAGUUUAACGAAGCAGUCUUAGCGCUUCGACUUUAGUAAGUCUGCAAAACCGGACUAACCUUAUACGAUGUGUUUUCAUUACACAAAACCCAUAUUAAAUGACAUUAUAGUGAGAAAAGUAUAUCUACGCCCGGCCUAACUGACACAGUUUUAAAAAGCGAUCUUACGAUGCUAAUAUCACUUAGUGAAACGGGGUACCUUAUAAUCUUAUUACAACUGAAUCAUAAGUCUCAUGGCUAAGAUUGUUUCGUUAAGCGAACCUCAGUGUUUACUAAUUCACUUACUUGACAAGCGAUAUAACACUUAUUAGUGUGGCCUUACCCAUGAAAUUUGAUUAGACAUUCAAAACAAUAACAACAGUAUUACUGUGAUGACUUACUUUCACAUCACAAAACUGAGGAAAAUAUUGUGGUCGUAAUUAUUUAACUAUUUUUCCUAUAAUUUUUUGUAUAUCAGUGGCGCGUGCGUCAAGCCGCCAUUUGUUGUACCUAUCUGUGACAUUGUACACGUAUCAGUGACAGAGUACAGGCAACUGUGACAAUGAGAAAAUAUACUUAUCUUUAACAGAGUACAGGUAUUUGCGAGAAUGAGAGAGUAUCCGUAUAAGUGACCGAGUAAUUACAAAUGUGACAAUAAAGGAAUAUUCGUAUCUGUAACAGUGAGAGAGAUAUGUAUCUGUAGCAGUGUGUCGCAGUGAGUACUCGCAUCUGUGACAGUGAGAGGUCACACUUCUGUGACAGUAAGAGAGUACGUGUAUCUGUGACUGAGUAUACGCAUCUCUGACAGAACAUACGUAUCUGUGACAGCGAGAGUGCACACAUCUUUGACAGCGAGAGAGUACGUCUACCUGUGACUCAGUAUACGCAUCUCUGACAGAACAUACGUAUCUGUGACAGUACAUUACUUUUAUAAUAUCAUUCGUUGUUAAAAAAAGACAUUUUAUAUGAAUUAUUUUAUCGCCUUUAAAGAGCCUUUGGUCAGAAUAAAUGUUUGAAUAUUGCUUUGUAAAAAUAGCCUUCCCCAAGUCAUAAAGACAAAAGCGCUAUCACUUUACAGCGAAAUUUAAACAUGAUAAUAACGGCACUUCCUUAUAACUCCUGUAAGUCAUUAUGCAGAAUGUACAAUUUGUUUGAAUUGCCAAAGGUUUUGUGCAUAAGGCAUUGACCAUUUGCUUAGCUUUAAGAGAAAAAAUCUUAAAUUUGGAACUCAGAAUAUUAUAAAUUGACCCGUGUUAUAAUUUUCAAUGAAGAUAAGUUAAUAGCAGAUUCACACUGCUUAAUUGCACGGCCAUGAUUUCUUACUUUACACUUUUGUUGAUAUGUUGCAUUUACAUUUUGUUAACCAAAUAAACAGAUGUAUAUUUUACUUAUGUUUGUGACCUACAAGUAAAUUAUUCGACGAGGUA